GUAGGUGGCAAGCGUUGUCCGGAAUUAUUGGACGUAAAGCGCGCGCAGGUGGUUCUUUAAGUCUGAUGUGAAAGACCCCCGGGCUCAACCGGGGAGGGUCAUUGGAAACUGGGGAACUUGAGUGCAGGAGAGGAAAGUGGAAUUCCACGUGUAGCGGUGAAAUGCGUAGAUAUGUGGAGGAACACCAGUGGCGAAGGCGACUUUCUGGCCUGUAACUGACACUGAGGCGCGAAAGCGUGGGGAGCAAACAGGAUUAGAUACCCUGGUAGUCCACGCCGUAAACGAUGAGUGCUAAGUGUUGGGGGGGUUUCCGCCCCUCAGUGCUGCAGCUAACGCAUUAAGCACUCCGCCUGGGGAGUACGGUCGCAAAGACUG
rnacentral:rRNA from 1 species